AACGAACGCUGGCGGCAGGCUUAACACAUGCAAGUCGAGCGCCCCGCAAGGGGAGCGGCAGACGGGUGAGUAACGCGUGGGAAUCUACCCAUCACUACGGAACAACUCCGGGAAACUGGAGCUAAUACCGUAUACGUCCUUCGGGAGAAAGAUUUAUCGGUGAUGGAUGAGCCCGCGUUGGAUUAGCUAGUUGGUGGGGUAAAGGCCUACCAAGGCGACGAUCCAUAGCUGGUCUGAGAGGAUGAUCAGCCACAUUGGGACUGAGACACGGCCCAAACUCCUACGGGAGGCAGCAGUGGGGAAUAUUGGACAAUGGGCGCAAGCCUGAUCCAGCCAUGCCGCGUGAGUGAUGAAGGCCCUAGGGUUGUAAAGCUCUUUCACCGGUGAAGAUAAUGACGGUAACCGGAGAAGAAGCCCCGGCUAACUUCGUGCCAGCAGCCGCAGUAAGAC
rnacentral:rRNA from 1 species